UACGUAGGGUGCAAGCGUUGCCCGGAAUUAUUGGGCGUAAAGAGCUUGUAGGCGGUUUGUCGCGUCUGCUGUGAAAUUUCGGGGCUCAACCCCGAACUUGCAGUGGGUACGGGCAGACUAGAGUGUGGUAGGGGAGACUGGAAUUCCUGGUGUAGCGGUGAAAUGCGCAGAUAUCAGGAGGAACACCGAUGGCGAAGGCAGGUCUCUGGGCCACUACUGACGCUGAGGAGCGAAAGCGUGGGGAGCGAACAGG
rnacentral:rRNA from 1 species